ACGUUUUCCAUUCCGUUGAAAGAAAACAUAUACGAAGACGAUGACAGAUUGAGUCGUUAAUGUGUUCCUUCCUUGUUCACAAAUAAUGGUUCAAUAUCCAUCACAAAUCUCAGCUUAUAGGAUGAUAAAUGAUGAAGAAAUCGUAGGGAAGGGUUUAGGGUUUGGGUUUACGGUCGGAAGUUCGGUGGUCUAUCUGUGGAUAUUUCAGCCAUGGCCUCUGUUCAUUUCAGAUCCCACAAUCUCUUCACUGCCAUCCCAAUUGGAAGAUCGGCAGCUAAGAACCCCAGAAUUCAAGCUAAUAUAAAAACACAGCUCAAGUCUUCUAGAACCCAGAGGAUAAUGGAGGGCAUAUCAGUUUCAGGGGAGGUUGGUGGUGCUGGUGGAGCAUACUCAUACGAUGCUUUGAAGAGGUUGGAUCAAAUUUGGUCCAGAAUUUGCUCUGGCCAAGAAGCUCCAGAAGCCGCACAGGAAGUCGUCCGUCGUCUCUCUGGUGCGUUCAGCCGUUCCGAUUUGGGAGAGAAAGCCACCGACACAUUUGAUGUGUUGGUUUGUGGAGGUACUUUGGGAGUGUUCAUAGCCACAGCUUUAAGUUUGAAGGGUCUUCGUGUCGGUAUAGUGGAAAGAUAUGUUCUGAAAGGGAGGAAACAAGAAUGGAACAUUUCAAGGAAAGAGCUGAUAGAACUCGUUGAAGUUGGAGUAUUAACAGAAGAUGACAUUGAACAAGCUACUGCUAUGAAGUUUAAUCCUAACAGAUGUGCAUUUGAAGGGAAAGGCGAAAUCUGGGUUGAAGACAUCCUCAAUCUUGGUAUCUCACCUGAGAAGCUUAUAGAGAUCGUGAAGAAACGUUUCAUUUCUCUAGGUGGAGUCAUCUUUGAGGGAUGCAACGUUUCAAGCAUUUGCAUAUACGAUGAUAUGACUGUGAUGCAACUCUCUGAUGGGAACAUUUUAUCUUCUCAACUCACUAUUGAUGCAAUGGGGAACUUUUCACCUGUGGUGAAACAGAUAAGACGUGGGAGGAAGCCUGAUGGUGUUUGUCUUGCUGUUGGAUCAUGUGCUCGUGGAUUUAAGGAUAACUCAACAAGUGAUGUCAUUUACAGCAGUUCAUCCUUAAAAAAGGUCGGGAUCUCAGAAGUUCAACUUUUCUGGGAGGCGUUUCCAGCCGGGUCGGGGCCUGUGGAUCGAACUACUUACAUGUUUACAUAUAUCGAUCCUCAACCAGGGUCACCUAAACUUGAAGACCUUUUAGAAGAAUACUGGGAUUUGAUGCCAAAAUAUCAGGGAGUCUCUCUUGAUGACUUGAAGAUAUUGAGAAUUUUUUAUGGCAUCUUUCCGACUUAUCGUGACAGCCCGCUGCCAGCUGCUUUUGAUCGUGUUCUACAGUUUGGAGAUGCAAGUGGCAUUCAGUCACCCGUUUCAUUUGGUGGAUUUGGGAGCUUGACUAGGCACCUCGGGAGGUUGUCAACUGGGAUAUAUGAAGCUGUAACAGGCAACUUCCUUGACUCUGAUAGCUUAUCACUGCUGAAUCCUUACAUGCCUAAUUUAAGUAGUUCAUGGUUGUUUCAAAGAGCUAUGUCUGCAAAGCAACGAUCAAACAUUUCUCCAUAUUUUAUCAAUGAGCUUCUUCAUGUAAACUUUCAGAGUAUGCAGAGAUUGGGGGAUCCAGUGCUGAGGCCUUUCCUUCAGGAUGUUGUGCAGUUUGUACCUCUUGCCCAGACCCUAGGUCUAGUUAUGUUAACUAAACCUCAACUUCUUCCAUUAAUAUACAAACAGGUAGGCAUCCCAGUGUUGCUCGACUGGGCUGGACAUUUCGGCAUGCUUGGCUACUACACGAUUCUCUCGACAUUUGUUGAUCCGAUUAUAAGGCCAUUCCUAAGUUCACUAACACCAAAGAUGAAUUUCAAGUGGAAACGACAACUCGAGGCCUGGAAGUAUGGAGCUGGUUUAGAUUACAAGCUAUGAAGAACAAGUCUGUUCUAUAUUUUCAACCUAAGACAUAAAUAGCAACACUGAUCUUAUGUAUAACUUAGCUAGCUAGCAGUAACAUUCUAUACUCCAUCUGUGAAGAUCUGGAUAUCACACUCUAUUAUAUACAGAUAUAUAAGAUGAACAACAGAAGGUCAAGAAAAUUAUACA